AUGGCGCGCGCAAUGGCACCCUUUGGCGACAUGCGCACGGUGGACGCGGCGGCGCUGGCGUCGAGGGCGCCGUGGUGCGCGAGCAGCACAUGCGGCAGCAGUGCCACCACGACCGCCUGGCCACCCCAGCCGCCGGUGUCGGAGUGGCAGCAGGACGACUGUCGGGGCCUCGUCCUCGGCCAGGCCGUGUGGGCUCACUUCGCCGCUGCCUCCACCUUCCCCGACGACGGCGCCAACCACGGCUCCCUAGUCGUGCUCAAUUCCCUCCCGGACGUCUCCCUCUCCGAGCUCCGUCAGACCUUCCAGAACAGUGCGAGCUGCGGUGGUGGCCUUGACCUUGGAGACCAGCAGGCCGCCGAGCCCUCGCCCUGGCCGCUGCGCGCCCUCGCCACGCCUCCUCGCCGCCCGCGCUCGACGCGCGCCCUUGCCUGA
rnacentral:rRNA from 1 species